rnacentral:misc_RNA from 1 species
GGAAGAAAAGUCGUAACAAGGUCUCCGUUGGUGAACCAGCGGAGGGAUCAUUACAGGACUCGCAAGACUCCUUACACCCUGUGAACCUUACUGUAUACGCGUUGCUUCGGCGGGUCCGCCCGCCGGCAGCAUACCACAUUCUGUUUCUCUGCGUUGGCAUCUCGAGAAAAAAGCAAAUAAGUUAAAACUUUCAACAACGGAUCUCUUGGUUCUG